UCUAAAUAUCUGUUUUUGAGUUUGGAUCGGGAUAGCGGCACUAUUAUCUAGCGGUCGGCGGCGAGCGAGGGCGGGUACGCGGCGGCGAUUUUACUGUACUUUCUGGCCGGAUCUGGUGGCAGCGGAUCGCUAGAGGCGUAAUCGAACAUAGCGUCUCUCUCCUUCGUAUCCUAAUUCCCGUUCUUAUUGCUUUCCCUAUUUUUGAUAUCCCAUCGGCGCUUCUCUUGGAGGUGACGAUGGCCGCUGGCUCCGGCGGCAUCGAUCUGCUUUCUGUAUACAACGACGAGGAAGAGGAAGAUGAACUGGAGGAGGUGCAGGUGCUGCAGGAAGCGGUGGAGGAACAGCAACGGCUGGCUCCGGAUUAUGUAACCCUAAUUUGCCCCGUCGCAGGCAGAGGCCCGAGGGCGACCACGCCCGACCAUUACUUCGAUACUGCUACUCCUCCAUCCCUUGGCCAAACUCGGUCUCCUCCUCUCGACGAUGGCGUUGAUUAUACAAUCCAAACUAGCCCCGCUGAUAACGUAACCCCAAGUAGCCUCGUCGCACGUAGCCCUACGCCUCCACCGCUGUUUCCCUCGAGAUCGCAUUCUUCGCCCCUCUCCUAUGUCUCGCCUAGUUCGGCCACUGUGCUGCCUCAGCCGUCUGCUGGGCUUCCAGAGCCUGUGGAUCCUCAGAGGGUGAGGAUGGGGAUGGGGUCUCUUGCUAUUGUGGAUUACGAGCAUGAUGAGACUGCCAUGUCUCCCGAGCCAGAGAGUUCGCAGGAUGGGGAGAUAUUAAGCAAUGGCCAUCCCAUGCUUGAAGCAGAUGUUAAAGCACCAAAUGGAAAUGCAGAGGAUAAAACAUCAUCCGUAACUGUUCCACUAGUAAUGCCAGUUACACAACUAGAUCCUCUCCAGCCAUCUGAUUUAUCUGAACAACCUAUGAUUGAACACAGUUUGCCAAUGGAUGUUUUUGAAUCUGUGCCUGAAGUAACUAAGUUGGAAACUGCUGUAGCUUCCAUGGAAGGGCGAAAGGAUGAUCUGUUGAGUAGUUUUCUUCCUCCACCUUCUUCAGCUCAAUGCCCUAAGGAGCUACAGGAACGGUUUAACAGGUUCUUUGCAUAUAAGAGGGCUGGGAAAAGUUUCAAUGCUGAUUUACGUAAUAGGAAGGACUAUCGGAAUCCUGACUUCUUGCAGCAUGCUGUGAGUUAUCAAGACAUAGACCAGAUUGGGACUUGCUUUAGUAAGGACGUUUUUGAUCCUCAUGGAUAUGACAAAAGUGACUAUGUUGAUGAAAUAGAGAAUGAUAUGAGGCGUGAAGCAGAAAGAAAAAAGAGGCAGGGUGAUUCUGUUGCUGGUGGAAGACAACCCAACGCAGGUGUUCCAAGAUCAAACUUGAGCACCCAAAAUUCAGUUGGUAACCUACCAGCUGCUGCUGCUGCUGCGGCGGCGGCGGCGGCAGCUGCAGUGGUGAAUGUGUUGCCUCCAGGUCCAACAACAGAUGGCACAGCCAAAGAAAUUAGACCAAACAAGAAGACAAAAUGGGACAAGAUUGAUGGUGAUGGAAAAAGCUCAUCCCUUCCUGGAGGACAUGACAAUUCAUCAGCAUCAAGUGUGCAUUCAGCUUUGUUGUCUGCUUCUAAUGCUGGCACUGGAUAUACUGCCUUUGCGCAACAAAAAAGAAGAGAAGCGGAAGAAAAGAAAUCGAGUGAGAGAAAGUUUGACAAAAGAUCAUAACCACAUCAGAGUUUUGGAGUUCACCAAGAGGAAAUAACAACUCACGAGUUACCCGAAGAAAAAGCUCCGCCGCUGAAUGUAAUAUAGCCAGUUGGUAGCCUGCAAAAGUGUGGCUUCUGGUAUAGUUUCAAGCUUCGCUUUACGCUGGCAAGGUUACAGGUGCAGAUUCCUAACCAUUCCUGUUAAUUUGCCUGCUACAUUCCGAUCCUCCAUGUUGUUGCAGCCUGUUCUAUGUAAAUCAUUUCCACUACGUAACCCACAGUUGUUUUGAAGGUUUAGAGCUGGGAUUAGCCUGUUGAUUAAUACGCAUUAAUCAAGUAUUAAUACUUUUUUUUGUUGUUCCUAAUUACCAGGGGGUUUUCAAGUACAGAUAGAGAUGAUUAAUUGUGAUUUAAAUAAUAUCACUGAUGUAGUUUUGAAUA